AGCAUGUCCGUCUGAGUGUUGGUU
rnacentral:rRNA from 1 species